rnacentral:tRNA from 1 species
ACUUAAAUAACUUAUUUAUUAGAGUGUGAUAUUGAAGAUAUCAAAGAAGUUAUUUAACUUUUAAGUA